rnacentral:lncRNA from 1 species
GCUUAGGAAUGAAGCAGAGGUCACACUGUCUGUGACAAAGGGCGUACCAGCUUUUGGAACUGUUCACGUGGACAGACACCUGGAUAAAAGUAUAACCAACAAGGCCCCGCUGUGGGAUAGGACUGUUAUCCUCAGGCCUGUAACCAUCCAUCCGGACCUCAGGCUCUCCAGAGUCUUGAUUUAGGGCUUUUGUAGAAACACUGUACCUCAGUACUUUGAGAAAGAAAGAACCCAUGAAGGCCAGCUGUGGUGCCAUGCAUCUGUACUCUCAGCACUCCAGAGGCAGACAGAGGUCGGUGGAGCUCUAUGAGUUCAAAACCUGGCAAGUUCCAUGCCACUCAGGGCUACAUUCCCUGCUCAUGAAGGCGUCUAAAUUGGCUCGAGAGGAGGAGAUAGGAGUCUCAGUAGCUCCUGCACCCCAAAAACUAUUCAAAGAGUUCUCUGGAUCCUCUGCUUGGGAGGUCUCCUUCCCCCAAAAGGGACAUCGUGGCCCAGCUUGGCAGGGAGCUGGGAAGCCAAUGCUGACGAGAGGUGACCCCACCUUGAACUCUGCUGGCAAGGAAGUGCGGUCCAUAAGGAGAACAGGAGUCUGGGCUUCUUCACUCUCUUGGCCGGUGUUUGGUCACAGUAACAAUGACAGUAACUAAUCCGUCCCCAAAGUCCUCGGACAUCUGCUACAGAGGAAGACCAAGAGCAGAGUGGGCAGGAGAGAGAAAUGGCUAAAUCCAACUUGAGGAAGACUGACCAAGGCCAGCAGGGAGAAUGGAAUUCAGAUGGUAAGGGGGAGGCUGUGGUGGCCACUCUGAAGGGAAACAAAGAACAGACACUCAGAUUAUAGGAGCAUGGAUGUGACCCCAGGGAGAACACACUCAGGGCGCAGCUGACCUAAGGGUCCCUGAAAUGGUGUCUUUGCUUUUCUUUUCCUGACUGGCACCAUGAGCUCAAUAUGCAAUGGCCAUUAACACUGCCUCAUCCAGCUGCCUCAGGGGGGGAUGCAGGCUGCCUCAUCAAAAACAGGGCCCUCAUAGCCCUUCAGUAUCAGCUGCUGGCUCCCUGUCCUUUGUGGGUUCCGAGUCUGUAAAUGCUGCCUUAGGCUGAUAGAGAGUGGAAAGUGUCCCUUGCUUGCAGCUACUGUGACUCUAGAGCAAUCACCCUUUGUAGGUGCUGUGGGACAGGGCACUCACUGGCUAUUCACUGCCAUCAUCAGAGGCAGGGGGUGUAUGGCAGACAGGUAGCACUCCCUGCAGAGCCUCAGGCUCCUGCCUUCCUCUUCUGGUGUGGUGGGGCUCCAAGCGACGCUGGACCUGUAGCUCUCAUCUGGGGUAUCAUCUAGAGAUCCUUGGUCAAGUCUGCAAAGGUCACAGUGACAAGGCCUGGGAUGUUGACUUAUCUUUUAGGGGACGAUCAUUAAUCUUCCACAGGUGGUUGUGGAGUUGGUAUGGACACUUGAGUAUAAUGACUGGCCUUAGCCACCAAGGUUCCUGAUGACUUGCAAAGAGCCCACCACCUUUGCCACUGCUGAACUUGGGGGAACUGAGAUGAGGGAGGACCCAUGUAGGGGAAGGUUACCAAAAGGCAAGGACAGUCUUGUAGCACCCAAGAGAGCCUGGACCCUUUGGGGGCACAGAAACCAUAUCCCCACAGCUAAUUGGUGGGACCCAGUACCGGCAGUCUGAGGGCCCAGGGACGUGCAUUUAAAGGA